GUGGGGAAUUUUGGACAAUGGGCGCAAGCCUGAUCCAGCAAUGCCGCGUGCAGGAAGAAGGCCUUCGGGUUGUAAACUGCUUUUGUACGGAACGAAACGGUCCGGGUUAAUACCCUGGGCUAAUGACGGUACCGUAAGAAUAAGCACCGGCUAACUACGUGCCAGCAGCCGCGGUAAUACGUAGGGUGCAAGCGUUAAUCGGAAUUACUGGGCGUAAAGCGUGCACAGGCGGUUUUGUAAGACAGGCGUGAAAUCCCCGGGCUCAACCUGGGAAUUGCGCUUGUGACUGCAAGGCUGGAGUGCGGCAGAGGGGGAUGGAAUUCCGCGUGUAGCAGUGAAAUGCGUAGAUAUGCGGAGGAACACCGAUGGCGAAGGCAAUCCCCUGGGCCUGCACUGACGCUCAUGCACGAAAGCGUGGGGAGCAAACAGGAUUAGAUACCCGAGUAGUCC
rnacentral:rRNA from 1 species